rnacentral:rRNA from 1 species
UACGUAAGGGGCGAGCGUUGUUCGGAAUUAUUGGGCGUAAAGGGCGUGUAGGCGGCUUUGAAAGUCUGGAGUUAAAGGCCACAGCUUAACUGUGGAAAUGCUUCGGAAACUGCAAAGCUAGAAUCUAGCAGGGGUAAUCGGAAUUUCUAGUGUAGGGGUGAAAUCUGUUGAUAUUAGAAAGAACACCAGAGGCGAAGGCGGAUUACUGGGUUAAGAUUGACGCUGAGGCGCGAAAGCGUAGGUAGCAAACAGG